rnacentral:rRNA from 1 species
GACGAACGCUGGCGGCGUGCUUAACACAUGCAAGUCGAACGAGACGAUUGAAAGCUUGCUUUUGAAAGUCGAGUGGCAAACGGGUGAGUAACGCGUAGACAACCUGCCUUUGAGAUGGGGACAACAGUUCGAAAGGACUGCUAAUACCGAAUGUUGUAUAUUUUCCACAUGGAAGAUAUAUUAAAGAUGGCCUCUAUUUAUAAGCUAUCGCUCAAAGAUGGGUCUGCGUCUGAUUGGCUGGUUGGUGGGGUAACGGCCUACCAAGGCGACGAUCAGUAGGCGGUCUGGGAGGACGAACGGCCACAUUGGGACUGAGACACGGCCCAGACUCCGACGGGAGGCAGCAGUGGGGAAUCUUCCACAAUGGACGAAAGUCUGAUGGAGCAACGCCGCGUGAGUGAAGAAGGGUUUCGGCUCGUAAAGCUCUGUUGUCGGGGACGAAUGUGCAGUAUUUGAAUAAAGUACUGCAAUGAUGGUACCUGACGAGGAAGCCACGGCUAACUACGUGCCAGCAGCCGCCGUAA